rnacentral:rRNA from 1 species
GCCAAGAAUAAAAUUCAAGGUGUAACCUGCCCAGUGGUUAAUAAUUAGAAUAAUAAACUUAAAAUUUAACUAAACGGAUGCGGUAUCCUAACCGUAAUAAAGUAGCAUAAUCAUUCGCCACUUAAUUGGUGGAUAGUAUGAACGGUUAAACGAAUAUUUACCUGUCUUAUAUAGAAAAUUAUGAAAUUAAAAUAAUAGUAAAGAUGCUAUUUAAAAUUGUAAGACGAAAAGACCCUAUAGAGCUUAACUAUUUGCUUUUUUAUUAAAAUAAUUAUAGAAAAUUAUAAUAAAAAAAGCUAGGUAGUUUAGUUGGGGCGACUACCUUUUAUUAAUAUCAAAGGUAAACAAAAUAAUUUAUAUAUUUAUUGUAUAAUCCAUCUGUUUAACAAUUACAAAAGUAGGUAAUAAUGACCCGUUAUUAUUAAAAAAGAAAAAUAACGAUUAAUAGAUAAAAGCUACCUUAGGGAUAACAGGAUAAUUUUAAUUUAGAGACCAUAUCAAAAUUAAAGUUUGUCACCUCUAUGUUGAAUUAAGAUAUCCUUAUGAAGCAGAAUUUAUAAAGGGUAGGUCUGUUCGACCUUUAAAAUCUU